UACGAAGGGGGCGAGCGUUGUUCGGAAUUACUGGGCGUAAAGGGCGCGUAGGCGGCUCAUGAAGGCUGUGGUGAAAGUCCGGGGCUCAACCUCGGAUCGGCCGUGGCGACUCGUGGGCUGGAGCACUGUAGAGGCGGGUGGAAUUCCGGGUGUAGCGGUGGAAUGCGUAGAGAUCCGGAAGAACACCAGUGGCGAAGGCGGCCCGCUGGGCAGUGGCUGACGCUGAGGCGCGACAGCGUGGGGGAGCAAACAGG
rnacentral:rRNA from 1 species